rnacentral:rRNA from 1 species
GGGUUGUGAGGUUAAGCGACUAAGCGUACACGGUGGAUGCCUAGGCAGUCAGAGGCGAUGAAGGGCGUGCUAAUCUGCGAAAAGCGUCGGUAAGCUGAUAUGAAGCGUUAUAACCGACGAUACCCGAAUGGGGAAACCCAGUGCAAUACGUUGCACUAUCGUUAGAUGAAUACAUAGUCUAACGAGGCGAACCGGGGGAACUGAAACAUCUAAGUACCCCGAGGAAAAGAAAUCAACCGAGAUUCCCCAGUAGCGGCGAGCGAACGGGGAGGAGCCCAGAGUCUGAAUCAGUUUGUGUGUUAGUGGAAGCGUCUGGAAAGUCGCACGGUACAGGGUGAUAGUCCCGUACACCAAAAUGCACAGGCUGUGAACUCGAUGAGUAGGGCGGGACACGUGACAUCCUGUCUGAAUAUGGGGGACCAUCCUCCAAGGCUAAAUACUCCUGACUGACCGAUAGUGAACCAGUACCGUGAGGGAAAGGCGAAAAGAACCCCGGCGAGGGGAGUGAAAUAGAACCUGAAACCGUGUACGUACAAGCAGUGGGAGCACCUUCGUGGUGUGACUGCGUACCUUUUGUAUAAUGGGUCAGCGACUUAUAUUUUGUAGCAAGGUUAACCGAAUAGGGGAGCCGUAGGGAAACCGAGUCUUAACUGGGCGUCUAGUUGCAAGGUAUAGACCCGAAACCCGGUGAUCUAGCCAUGGGCAGGUUGAAGGUUGGGUAACACUAACUGGAGGACCGAACCGACUAAUGUUGAAAAAUUAGCGGAUGACUUGUGGCUGGGGGUGAAAGGCCAAUCAAACCGGGAGAUAGCUGGUUCUCCCCGAAAGCUAUUUAGGUAGCGCCUCGUGAACUCAUCUUCGGGGUAGAGCACUGUUUCGGCUAGGGGGCCAUCCCGGCUUACCAAACCGAUGCAAACUCCGAAUACCGAAGAAUGUUAUCACGGGAGACACACGGCGGGUGCUAACGUCCGUCGUGAAGAGGGAAACAACCCAGACCGCCAGCUAAGGUCCCAAAGUCAUGGUUAAGUGGGAAACGAUGUGGGAAGGCACAGACAGCCAGGAUGUUGGCUUAGAAGCAGCCAUCAUUUAAAGAAAGCGUAAUAGCUCACUGGUCGAGUCGGCCUGCGCGGAAGAUGUAACGGGGCUAAACCAUGCACCGAAGCUGCGGCAGCGACGUUUAGGCGUUGUUGGGUAGGGGAGCGUUCUGUAAGCCGUUGAAGGUGACCUGUGAGGGUUGCUGGAGGUAUCAGAAGUGCGAAUGCUGACAUAAGUAACGAUAAUGCGGGUGAAAAACCCGCACGCCGGAAGACCAAGGGUUCCUGUCCAACGUUAAUCGGGGCAGGGUGAGUCGACCCCUAAGGCGAGGCUGAAAAGCGUAGUCGAUGGGAAACAGGUUAAUAUUCCUGUACUUGGUGUUACUGCGAAGGGGGGACGGAGAAGGCUAGGCUGGCCGGGCGACGGUUGUCCCGGUUUAAGCGUGUAGGGGGAGUGACCAGGUAAAUCCGGUUGCUUAUCAACCCUGAGGCGUGAUGACGAUGCACUACGGUGCAGAAGCAGUUGAUGCCAUGCUUCCAGGAAAAGCCUCUAAGCAUCAGGUAACAUUAAAUCGUACCCCAAACCGACACAGGUGGUCAGGUAGAGAAUACUCAGGCGCUUGAGAGAACUCGGGUGAAGGAACUAGGCAAAAUGGUGCCGUAACUUCGGGAGAAGGCACGCUGGCGUUAGGUGAAAGGACUAGCUCCUGGAGCUGAAGCCAGUCGCAGAUACCAGCUGGCUGCAACUGUUUAAUAAAAACACAGCACUGUGCAAACACGAAAGUGGACGUAUACGGUGUGACGCCUGCCCGGUGCUGGAAGGUUAAUUGAUGGGGUCAGCCGCAAGGCGAAGCUCUUGAUCGAAGCCCCAGUAAACGGCGGCCGUAACUAUAACGGUCCUAAGGUAGCGAAAUUCCUUGUCGGGUAAGUUCCGACCUGCACGAAUGGCGUAAUGAUGGCCAGGCUGUCUCCACCCGAGACUCAGUGAAAUUGAACUCGCUGUGAAGAUGCAGUGUACCCGCGGCAAGACGGAAAGACCCCGUGAACCUUUACUAUAGCUUGACACUGAACAUUGAGCCUUGAUGUGUAGGAUAGGUGGGAGGCAUUGAAGUGUGGACGCCAGUCUGCAUGGAGCCAACCUUGAAAUACCACCCUUUAAUGUUUGAUGUUCUAACUCGGCCCCAUGAUCUGGGGUGAGGACAGUGUCUGGUGGGUAGUUUGACUGGGGCGGUCUCCUCCCAAAGAGUAACGGAGGAGCACGAAGGUUAGCUAAUCACGGUCGGACAUCGUGAGGUUAGUGCAAAGGCAUAAGCUAGCUUGACUGCGAGAGUGACGGCUCGAGCAGGUACGAAAGUAGGUCUUAGUGAUCCGGUGGUUCUGAAUGGAAGGGCCAUCGCUCAACGGAUAAAAGGUACUCCGGGGAUAACAGGCUGAUACCGCCCAAGAGUUCAUAUCGACGGCGGUGUUUGGCACCUCGAUGUCGGCUCAUCACAUCCUGGGGCUGAAGUAGGUCCCAAGGGUAUGGCUGUUCGCCAUUUAAAGUGGUACGCGAGCUGGGUUUAGAACGUCGUGAGACAGUUCGGUCCCUAUCUGCCGUGGGCGUUGGAAGAUUGAGAGGGGCUGCUCCUAGUACGAGAGGACCGGAGUGGACGAAUCACUGGUGUUCGGGUUGUCAUGCCAAUGGCAUUGCCCGGUAGCUAAAUUCGGAAGAGAUAACCGCUGAAAGCAUCUAAGCGGGAAACUUGCCUCGAGAUGAGUCUUCCCUGGGGCUUAAAGCCCCCUGAAGGAACGUUAAAGACUAUGACGUUGAUAGGCUGGGUGUGUAAGUGCAGCGAUGUAUUGAGCUAACCAGUACUAAUGAUCCGUGAGGCUUAACCUUACAACACCGAAGGUGUUU